rnacentral:rRNA from 1 species
CUUUUUGAAGUCUUCGGAUGGAUAGAAGAACCCCUGAUGCCGUCGAGCCAAGAAAAGUUUCUAAGUUUAGCUAAUGUUGCCCGUACCGUAAACCGACACAGGUGGGUGGGAUGAGUAUUCUAAGGCGCGUGGAAGAACUCUCUUUAAGGAACUCUGCAAAAUAGCACCGUAUCUUCGGUAUAAGGUGUGGUUCGCUUCGUAUUAGGAUUUACUCCGAAAGCGAAGAAACUUACAACAAAGAGUCCCUCCCGACUGUUUACCAAAAACACAGCACUCUGCUAACUCGUAAGAGGAUGUAUAGGGUGUGACGCCUGCCCGGUGCUCGAAGGUUAAUUGAUGGGGUUAGCAUUAGCGAAGCUCUUGAUCGAAGCCCGAGUAAACGGCGGCCGUAACUAUAACGGUCCUAAGGUAGCGAAAUUCCUUGUCGGUUAAAUACCGACCUGCAUGAAUGGCGUAACGAGAUGGGAGCUGUCUCAAAGAGGGAUCCAGUGAAAUUGUAGUGGAGGUGAAAAUUCCUCCUACCCGCGGCAAGACGGAAAGACCCCGUGGACCUUUACUACAGCUUGACACUGCUAUUUGGAUAAGAAUGUGCAGGAUAGGUGGGAGGCUUUGAGUAUAUGACGCCAGUUGUAUAUGAGCCAUUGUUGAGAUACCACUCUUUCUUAUUUGGGUAGCUAACCAGCUUGAGUUAUCCUCAAGUGGGACAAUGUCUGGUGGGUAGUUUGACUGGGGCGGUCGCCUCCCAAAUAAUAACGGAGGCUUACAAAGGUUGGCUCAGAACGGUUGGAAAUCGUUCGUAGAGUAUAAAGGUAUAAGCCAGCUUAACUGCAAGACAUACAAGUCAAGCAGAGACGAAAGUCGGUCUUAGUGAUCCGGUGGUUCUGUGUGGAAGGGCCAUCGCUCAAAGGAUAAAAGGUACCCCGGGGAUAACAGGCUGAUCUCCCCCAAGAGCUCACAUCGACGGGGAGGUUUGGCACCUCGAUGUCGGCUCAUCGCAUCCUGGGGCUGGAGCAGGUCCCAAGGGUAUGGCUGUUCGCCAUUUAAAGCGGUACGCGAGCUGGGUUCAGAACGUCGUGAGACAGUUCGGUCCCUAUCUGCCGUGGGCGUAAGAAGAUUGAAGAGAUUUGACCCUAGUACGAGAGGACCGGGUUGAACAAACCACUGGUGUAGCUGUUGUUCUGCCAAGAGCAUCGCAGCGUAGCUAAGUUUGGAAAGGAUAAACGCUGAAAGCAUCUAAGCGUGAAGCCAACUCUAAGAUGAAUCUUCUCUAAGCUCUCUAGAAGACUACUAGUUUGAUAGGCUGGGUGUGUAAUGGAUGAAAGUCCUUUAGCUGACCAGUACUAAUAGAGCGUUUGGCUUAUCUUUAAUAAAGCAU